AAUCAACGCUGGCGGCGUGCCUAACACAUGCAAGUCGAACGCGAAAGUCCCGCAAGGGAUGAGUAGCGUGGCGAACGGGUGAGUAACGCGUGGGUGACCUGCCGUCGAGUGGGGGAGUAACGUCUCGAAGGGACGGCUAAUACCGCAUGACAUCCGGCCUUUGGUAGAGGCGGAGAUCAAAGACUGGGGAGUCGCAAGACCUGGCGCUCGACGAGGGGCCCGGCGUCCGAUUAGCNGGUUGGGUGGGGGUAAGUGGCCUACCAAGGCGACGAUCGGUAGCCGGCCUAAGAGGGGCGGACGGCCACACUGGGACUGAGACACGGCCCAGACUCCUACGGGAGGCAGCAGUGGGGAAUUGUUCGCAAUGGGCGCAAGCCUGACGACGCAACGCCGCGUGGAGGACGAAGGC
rnacentral:rRNA from 1 species